UCUCUGUUCAUGUGAUAACUUGUCAGUUUGUCCAUGCGAUGUCCUGUCAGUUUGUCCAUGCGAUGUCCUGUCAGUUUGUCCAUGCGAUGUCCUGUCAGUUUGUCCAUGCGAUGUCCUGUUAGUUUAUCUACGUGGUGUCCUGUCAGUCUGUCCGUGCGGUGGUGGUCCAUGUGGUGUCUUGUCCAUAUAGUGUCUCUUGACUCUAUAUUAUUUAUGAAUGUCUGUUGUGUCUGGGGUGAAUGUGUAAUGUCUGAGGUGAUAGUUUGGUGAAUGUGUAAUGUCUGAGGUGAUGGUUUGGUGAAUGUGUAAUGUCUGAGGUGAUAGUUUGGUGAAUGUGUAAUGUCUGAGGUGAUAGUUUGGUGAAUGUGUAAUGUCUGAGGUGAUAGUUUGGUAAAUGUGUAAUGUCUGAGGUGAUAGUUUGGUGAAUGUGUAAUGUCUGAGGUGAUAGUUUGGUGAAUGUGUAAUGUCUGAGGUCAGAGUUUGGUGAAUGUGUAAUGUCUGAGGUGAUAGUUUGGCGUCUCUGUGGUGAAUGUAUUAUCUGUUUGUGAUAAAGGUGCAGUGUGACUGUGGUGACUGUGCGGUUAGUUUCAGUAAACAUCCAGUAUUUGUGGUGUUUCUGCAUGUGUCUAUUCCAUAUGUGUGUGUGUGUAAUGGUUUUGAAAGUAAAAUGUCUCUACACGACAUGUGUCUUGCGGUGAGAUUGUCUGGCCAUGAGAUGUGUGUCUUGGUUUGUUGAGUGUUUCUACAAGGUGUAUGUGUGUAUAGUGUGUCUUGAUUUGUUGAGUGUUUCUACAAGGUGUAUAUGUGUAUAGUGUGUCUUGAUUUGUUGAGUGUUUCUACAAGGUGUAUAUGUGUAUAGUGUGUCUUGGUUUGUUGAGUGUUUCUACAAGGUGUAUGUGUGUAUAGUGUGUCUUGAUUUGUUGAGUGUUUCUACAAGGUGUAUGUGUGUAUAGUGUGUCUAGGUUUGUUGAGUGUUUCUACAAGGUGUAUGUUUGUAUAGUGUGUCUUGGUUUGUUGAGUGUUUCUACAAGGUGUAUGUGUGUCUAGUGUGUCUUGAUUUGUUGAGUGUUUCUACAAGGUGUGUAUGUGUGUCUAGUGUGUCUUGAUUUGUUGAGUGUUUCUACAAGGUGUAUG